UUACAACACGUGGUGCUGUUUCUACUCCAU
rnacentral:piRNA from 1 species